rnacentral:hammerhead_ribozyme from 1 species
GCACUAAUGAGGAGUCCCACAAUAGAACGAAACGGCUGUUCAGUGC